GCCCUGCUCCCCAACGCUCACAUCUGUCUCCCCUGCAGCUCUCUUCUUCCUGCUGUUCCCGUGCCUGCAUGGACGGCACCCUCCCUCCAGAGGUGAGCAUGGGUGUGGGGGACAGGGAACUGUGACCUCUCCGGGGUGGGGGGGCAGGGCUGAGGGCACCCCCGCCCCCACCGGCUUCCACCUCCACGCUCCUGCUCAGCUGAAACGCCAGCUGAGUGUGGAAUUCUGACCCGCCUCCCAUCCCUGGGUUCUGGGGUAGAUUCUGUGAGGAUUCCCCAAGCCAGCCCCUUGCACUGACAAUGGGUGAUGGGGGGGGCAGGGAGGGCUUCUUGGGAGGGAGCAGAAAUGGGGCAUCUGCUGGACUGGGAGGAAGAAGGGGAGUCAAGAGCCAAAGGAGUCUGGGAGCUCCCGUCAUGGCUCAGCAGGUUAAGAACCCAACCAGUAUCCAUGAGGAUGUGGCUUCAAUCCCUGGCCUUGCUCAGUAGGUUAAGGAUCCGGCAUUGCUGUGAGCUGUGGUGUAGGUCACGGAUAUGGCUCAGAUCUGGCAUUGCUAUAGCUGUGGUGUAGGCUGGCAGCUGUAGCUCCGACUGGACCCCUAGCCAAAACAACAACAAAAAAGCCAAAGGAGUCCCAUCCCACCACAGACCCAGCUGGCCAAGCUUUAUCAAUUACCCCUUAUUUCAACCCCACGACCUGAUGGCCACGUUCAGUCUGGGUGACACCCCCAAAAAGCCGAUGAUUCCAUUUUAUUUUUUAUUUAUUUUUGGCUGGAGCAUGCAGCCGCUUGAGGUGGGAUCUCUGUACCCAGGCCAGGGAUUGAACCCAGGGUCACAGCCGUGAAGGUGCUGGAGCCUACCCUCUAGACCACUAGGGAACCCCCCAGAGAACCCCACUUUGGAGCUCGGAAAAGUGUGGCUCAGAGGGGUGAGGUGCCUGAGAUGAGGAGGAGAAGGGAGCUUAAUCCGUGACCCAGCAAGCCUCCUCCAUUUUUUUUUUCCAAUUUUUCUUCGCUUUUUAGGGCCACACCUGCAGCAUAUGGAGGGUCCCAGAAAGCAAAAAAAACCCACAAGGAGAUACCACUCCCACCCACUAGGGGAUGCCUAUCGUCCCAGAGUCGGGUGACAAGCGCGCUGGCAAGGAUGUGGGGAAAUCGGGAAAUCAGCACACUUAGAUGCUGCUGAUGGGGCGGAAAACGGGGCACUGUCCGGAACAGGCCAGUCUAGAGACAGUGAGCAGGCUGCUGGCUGCCCAGGGCCGGGGCGGGAGGUUCGAGGAAAUGCGGAACAACUGCUAAUGGCCGUGGGGUUUCCUCGUAGGCUGAUGAACGGGUUCUCAGCCUGUGGUGCUGACUGCGGAACCCUGCGAAUCUACUAAAAACCACUGCCUUAUACCCUUGACAUGGGUGAAUUGUAGGAUAUGUGAACUUUAUUUUAAUGAAGGUAUUUAAAUAAAAAAAAAAAACCCAAGACGAAUGGAUGCAAGGGAGAUAAGGACCCUGAGCAGGGUGUGGGCAGAGGCCCCCCAUUUCCCCCGCCCAGGACCUCACGCCCAGCCAUGUCAGCCCUGCAGGCUCAGUGCUGGUGGUGGUGACAAAGGAGCGGUGGCAGCUCUGUGGCCGCGUGGCGCUGGACCCCAAGGACCACAAGUGGAGCUGCUGCAGAGAGGUCUACCCUUUCCACCACCCCACCCAGAGGUGCUGCCAGACUUAGGGGAAGGUCGUGGUCAUCCCUGCCGACCUGGAAAAGUCAGAGGCUGAAGGCUGCAGGACCUACCCCCUGGAAACUCUGGGUGAGUCCUGGCCCCACGGGCAGCUUCCUCCUCUGCUCUGGGGGGCGGGGGGAGGUCACAGAGACCUUUUUCUCUCUCCUUUCUUCCCGGGAGCUCUGGCCUUCACGGGGGCCUUGUCUGCUACCAGAUAGCGGGUCUGUGCCAGAAACUUAGUUGCAUUCCCGCUUCCCACUGUGUGACCUUGGACAAGUGUCCUGCCCACUCUGGGCCAAAUCUGCCUGUCACCAAGUAAAGGGUAUGCACAAGAACUUCUCUCCAAACAGAAGGAGUCUGGAGCUUUCCAAGUCAUUCUUCUCUCUGUAGAUCACAGAAUAAAAUGAAGAAUGGUGAUAAGAUUCAUGUGUGUUUGCAGGCAAAGCUGUCCUUCAUUCAUUUUCUUUUUUUUUUUUUUUAUUACCGUAUCUGAGAUGUAGGGAAGUUCUCAGGCCGGGGACUGAACCUGAGCUACAGCUGUGACCUACACUGUGCGGCAAUGCAGGAUCCUUUAACCCACUGCCCUGGGCCCCUGGACCGGGGAUCAAACCUGUGCCGCCAGUGACCCGAAAAGCUGUGGUUGGGUUUGUUUGUUUUGCUUUUUAGGGCUGUUCCCAGACUAGGGG
rnacentral:lncRNA from 1 species